AAAAACUCCGGUGGUGUAAGAUGGGCCCGCGUUGGAUUAGGUAGUUGGUGAGGUAACGGCUCACCAAGCCGACGAUCCAUAGCCGACCUGAGAGGGUGACCGGCCACAUUGGGACUGAGACACGGCCCAAACUCCUACGGGAGGCAGCAGUGGGGAAUAUUGCACAAUGGGCGCAAGCCUGAUGCAGCGACGCCGCGUGAGCGAAGAAGUAUUUCGGUAUGUAAAGCUCUAUCAGCAGGGAAGAAAAUGACGGUACCUGACUAAGAAGCUCCGGCUAAAUACGUGCCAGCAGCCGCGGUAAUACGUAUGGAGCAAGCGUUAUCCGGAAUUACUGGGUGUAAAGGGAGCGUAGACGGAUGUGCAAGUCUGAUGUGAAAGGCGGGGGCUCAACCCCUGGACUGCAUUGGAAACUGUAAAUCUUGAGUGCCGGAGAGGUAAGCGGAAUUCCUAGUGUAGCGGUGAAAUGCGUAGAUAUUAGGAGGAACACCAGUGGCGAAGGCGGCUUACUGGACGGUAACUGACGUUGAGGCUCGAAAGCGUGGGGAGCAAACAGGAUUAGAUACCCUGGUAGUCCACGCGGC
rnacentral:rRNA from 1 species